UCGAGGGACGGCGAAGAACGCUAGUGUUUGUCAUAAUACGCCACUUCUCCUGCAGAUGAGACACCUGACACUUUGUUAUGUGUUUGUGGGAGCCAUGGCAACGGAAUCCUCUCGACUGGUGGCAGCAGGAGGCUGCCACGGCUAAAAGUAGUUAACAGUGCGGCUUUAAUUGGCCGGUUAGGGCAAUAAUGUGCCACAUAGUGAAUUAGACGCAGCGGUGCCCUUUCUUUCGCCUGCAGGGACCGAGGAAUCCGCACAGGACGUUUCAGUCAACUCUGCUCGGUUUCCAUGUCGGCAAAGCAACGAACACAAAACGCAAAAGUGUGGCCUCUCCGAACAAGAAGCAGCUUCUUAGCGCUCGAAGAGGUUGAAGAGAAGGAUGCGUUCACGGGGUCCGUGUGAAGAUGGGCUCAGUUUCACCUGCACUGUAAACGCUUUUCCACUUCACAAACUCCAUCUUUGCAACAUAGAUAUUCAUUAAGAAUAUCUAUAGCGGGUAAUUACAGUGAUAAUAAUUCUUUAUUAUUACAUUUCUAUUCCAGUUGCUCGUGACUUAUCAAGCUGUAAUACCAAGUGCUACUCAAACAUGUAAAGGUAACUUUAGAAAGAGCAAUAAAUUAUAAUUUCUUUUAAAGGAAUAAACCUCAGGAGACGCCUCUAUUGAACCCUAAUCAACAUUCCUUGGGAGAAAUGUGGAAAUGUAUAUUAUAUUAACUGGACGUUUCAACCGUAACCCUCCUGCCAUUAAUGGAUCUGUGUUUUAUUGCAGUACUCCGGAGACCGCAGCAGCGCAAUCACUCAGAUCUAAUUGACAUGAUGAGGAGCUAUUACAGUAUUGAUCCACCUGGCGAGUGCUACUGGAUCAGCUGGGGGCCUGUAUCGACCAUGCUAAGUGGGUCCACAGACCUUUUGAGGGUCAGACAAAUGUUAAGGGGAUAUUACCAGCUGUUUGCAAAGUUGGAUCUCAUUCAGAAGACGGCCGAGCGAAAGCAAAGGUAAAAGAAAAAGUUGGUGAACCACGGAAAACCGGCCCCUUCUCAUAAUACCCGUAAAUUAUUGUGCUUUCACAAACUAUUUUUGUCCUUGAUGUCAAAUAAAAGUGGACCUGACGCAGUGAA